rnacentral:rRNA from 1 species
GAUGAACGCUGGCGGCGUGCCUAAUACAUGCAAGUCGAGCGAACAGACGAGGAGCUUGCUCCUCUGACGUUAGCGGCGGACGGGUGAGUAACACGUGGAUAACCUACCUAUAAGACUGGGAUAACUUCGGGAAACCGGAGCUAAUACCGGAUAUAUAUUGAACCGCAUGGUUCAAUAGUGAAAGACGGUUUUGCUGUCACUUAUAGAUGGAUCCGCGCCGCAUUAGCUAGUUGGUAAGGUAACGGCUUACCAAGGCGACGAUGCGUAGCCGACCUGAGAGGGUGAUCGGCCACACUGGAACUGAGACACGGUCCAGACUCCUACGGGAGGCAGCAGUAGGGAAUCUUCCGCAAUGGGCGAAAGCCUGACGGAGCAACGCCGCGUGAGUGAUGAAGGUCUUCGGAUCGUAAAACUCUGUUAUUAGGGAAGAACAAAUGUGUAAGUAACUAUGCACGUCUUGACGGUACCUAAUCAGAAAGCCACGGCUAACUACGUG